rnacentral:rRNA from 1 species
UAUGGCUUAACCAUAGAACUGCUUGGGAAACUGGUAAUCUAGAGUGAGGGAGAGGCAGAUGGAAUUGGUGGUGUAGGGGUAAAAUCCGUAGAGAUCACCAGGAAUACCCAUUGCGAAGGCGAUCUGCUGGAACUCAACUGACGCUAAUGCGUGAAAGCGUGGGGAGCAAACAGGAUUAGAUACCCUGGUAGUCCACGCCCUAAACGAUGUAUACUAGUUGUUGCUAAGCUAGUCUUGGCAGUAAUGCACCUAACGGAUUAAGUAUACCGCCUGGGGAGUACGGUCGCAAGAUUAAAACUCAAAGGAAUAGACGGGGACCCGCACAAGCGGUGGAGCAUGUGGUUUAAUUCGAAGAUACGCGAAGAACCUUACCCGGACUUGAUAUCUAACAAAUCAUCUAGAGAUAGAAGAGUGUCUGCUUGCAGAAAUGUUAAGACAGGUGCUGCACGGCUGUCGUCAGCUCGUGUCGUGAGAUGUUGGGUUAAGUCCCGCAACGAGCGCAACCCACGUCAUUAGUUGCUAA